GACGAACGCUGGCGGCGUGCUUAACACAUGCAAGUCGAACGGAGUGGCGAACGGGUGAGUAUUACGUGAGUAACCUGCCCUCAACUGUGGGAUAAGCCUGGGAAACUGGGUCUAAUACUCAAUAGUUGGGGAUGGGCUCGCGGCCUAUCGGCUUGUUGGUGGGGUGAUGGCCCACCAAGGCGGUGCCGGGUAGCCGGCCUGGGAGGGUGGUCGGCCACAUUAGGACGGAGAUACGGCCCAGACACCUACGGGAGGGAGCAGUGGGGGAUAGUGCACAAUGGGCGCGAGCCUGAUGCAGCGGCGCCGCGUGGGGGAUGAGGGCUUUCGGGUUGUAAACCUCGUUCGAUAGAGAACGGGUAUGUGCAGAAGAAGCGCCGGCUAACUACGUGCCAGCAGCCGCGGUAAUAC
rnacentral:rRNA from 1 species